AGCGAACGCUGGCGGCAGGCUUAACACAUGCAAGUCGAACGGGCGUAGCAAUACGUCAGUGGCAGACGGGUGAGUAACGCGUGGGAACGUACCUUUUGGUUCGGAACAACCCAGGGAAACUUGGGCUAAUACCGGAUAAGCCCUUACGGGGAAAGAUUUAUCGCCGAAAGAUCGGCCCGCGUCUGAUUAGCUUGUUGGUGAGGUAACGGCUCACCAAGGCGACGAUCAGUAGCUGGUCUGAGAGGAUGAUCAGCCACAUUGGGACUGAGACACGGCCCAAAC
rnacentral:rRNA from 1 species